rnacentral:ribozyme from 1 species
AAAAAAUCAAACAAAAACGAAAAGAGAGAGACGAAGGAUGUACGUGGAAGUGUAAUCCCCUUAUGUUCAUCUCUCUAAUUUCUAAUAGUGUUUCUUUUUUUCCUCAUUUCACUUAAAAAAAAAACAUUUUUCACAAAAAAACGUGGAAAGG